rnacentral:lncRNA from 1 species
UUUUUUAAUGCUAUAAAAUAUUGGGUUUAUUGUUUAUUUGUUACAAUCAAAAUGCAUCCUCAAAAGGGGCACCUUCGGCGCACCUCCCUCUUCUAACAGUGCCGUGGGAGAUUUAUUUCUUUUCUUUAUUUUGUGAAUGCAAUGAAAUGUUUUGCUUACUUCUAAUGCUUCAUUUUGCCAAGGCUAGAAGGUCAAGAACUUCCUACGCCUUGGAAACAUCGACAAUGCAUAAAACAGCCUAAGCAGCAGAAUGUUUCGGCAGAGAUCCUCAGAAGGCAGUCCGGUGGCUCCUGAUGGCAAAGAUGAAAGUGAAACAUCCAAAUCAAGGGCUUCUGUAACUCGUUCCAUAAGCAGUAACAAUGCAAGUGCUAUGAAUAUUGAUUCUACCAAGCAUGAACCUGAUGUCAAAGAAAAACUGAGCAAUCUUGGAAAUGUAAAUUUAGCUUACUAACAAAACACCUUUUUUCAAAAGAAGAUCUGAAAGAGGAUGAUAUUCCCUGGACCUGGGAUGCUAUUUUUACCGAAGUUUCCUCAGAAUUGCGAUCACAGUGGGAGAAGUCAAAGCAGGACGGAACACCCUAAUUCUUGCAACAAACUGUGAGCAUCUAACUUCCUAUUUUAAAUUGUUAAUUAUUUAUUGACUGUUCUCCCACAAUUUGUAUUUUCUUUCAUUCUUUCGGUCACAGUCUAGAUCUCUAUGUUUCUGAGCUGUUUGUGAGAAAUUCCUUUGACAAGUAGAUAGCCCUUCCUUUCUCCUGCUCAAAUACUUAGGUAUGAUUGCUGAAUCCCUUCAUUUUUUUUUUAUUUUUUUUGUUUUUUUAUAAAUGGGGCCAAAAUGGUGAAAGCUACUUUCUUAAUAAAAAAAUUCAACCUUA